AUCAGAUUAUCAUCAAUAUGGCUUGUUAUCAUGUUGACCUCUUUGGGUUUUUAUAUUGUUGGGUUGCUGUCUUAUUGACGAAUACUCCACAUCUUAUAAUUCAAAGAAAGUCCAAAGGGUAUGCAUUAAAAAUUAAAGAACCUUAGUGAGCGCGCUCACAUACCCCACGUCCCCACAUUGUCAUUGGAGAAAUAAAACAAGUGUAAGAAAAAAAAAUUGUAUCAGAAAAAAAAAUUGAAUCAUAAUUUCCUGUCAAUAUGCACAUCUACAUAGUAUGUCCUUAUUAUCUACACAGUUUCAUGAAAUUCUGUUGUGUGGUUUGAGAGGAGUUGCAAUGACAAAAGGUUGCAGUAGUAUAUUUGGCAAAUAAGUUCAAAGGGGCAUAACUCCUGGAAAAAAAUGAAUCGUAAUUUCCUGUCGAUAUGCACAUCUACGUAGUAUGUCCUUAUUAUCUGAAAAGGUUUCAUGAAAUUCUGUUGUGUGGUUUGAGAGGAGUUGCGAUGACAAAAGGUUGCAGUAGUACAUUAAAGUAAAUAAGUUCAAAGGGGCGUUACUCCUAGAAAAAAAAUUGAAUCUAAUUUCCUGUCGAUAUGCACAACUACAUAGUAUGUCCUUAUUAUCUACACAGUUUCAUGAAAUUCUGUUGUGUGGUUUGAGAGGAGUUGCAAUGACAAAAGGUUGCAGUAGUAUAUUGGGCAAAUAAGUUCAAAGGGGCAUAACUCCUGGAAAAAAAAAUGAAUCGUAAUUUCCUGUCGAUAUGCACAUCUACGUAGUAUGUCCUUAUUAUCUGAAAAGGUUUCAUGAAAUUCUGUUGUGUGGUUUGAGAGGAGUUGCGAUGACAAAAGGUUGCAGUAGUAUAUUGGGCAAAUAAGUUCAAAGGGGCAUAACUCCUGGAAAAAAAAAUGAAUCGUAAUUUCCUGUCGAUAUGCACAUCUACGUAGUAUGUCCUUAUUAUCUGAAAAGGUUUCAUGAAAUUCUGUUGUGUGGUUUGAGAGGAGUUGCGAUGACAAAAGGUUGCAGUAGUAUAUUGGGCAAAUAAGUUCAAAGGGGCAUAACUCCUGGAAAAAAAAAUGAAUCGUAAUUUCCUGUCGAUAUGCACAUCUACGUAGUAUGUCCUUAUUAUCUGAAAAGGUUUCAUGAAAUUCUGUUGUGUGGUUUGAGAGGAGUUGCGAUGACAAAAGGUUGCAGUAGUACAUUAAAGUAAAUAAGUUCAAAGGGGCGUAACUCCUAGAAAAAAAUUGAAUCGUAAUUUCCUGUUGAUAUGCACAACAACAUAGUAUGUCCUUAUUAUCUAAAAAGGUUUCGUGAAAUUCUGUUGUGUGGUUUGAGAGGAGUUGCGAUGACAAGAAAUAGGACUGACGGACGGAAGGAUGGACGGACAGACGGACGGACAGACGGACGGGUCAAAAACAUUAUACCCUCCGCAACUCGUUGCAUGGGGUAUAACUAGAACAAGUGCAUGAAAUGUUCUAAUGCUAAAGUAACAUCCACUUCAUUUGAACUUUGGUGGAUAGUUGUCUCAUUGGCAAUCAUACCACAUUUACUUAUUUUUAUAUUCUACUCUAUUAGCGUAUACUGUGAACCAACUAAUUUUCGUGACUUUCUUGCAUAUAAAAUAACACGAAUUCAAAUCAUCGCCAAUAGUAAAACUUGUAUUUUCCC